GGUCAAGCGAAGAAAGGCUUACGGUGGAUACCUAGGCACACAGAG
rnacentral:rRNA from 5 species